GACAAAGCAGAGGGAGAACUCAGAACCUCCUUCCUGAGCCUAAGGCGUGAAUUGAAGAGACUUGAGGGAAAGCGUAGGUGCCUGAGCGCCCCAGGUUCGGAUCCCAGCUCAGCCCCGCCCAACUUGUGUGCGGGAAGCUGCCCACCUCCCGGGGCUUUCCUUCCGCGUCUGUGGGAUGCGGAGCCAGGGCGGAGUGCACCUGCACCGCCCGGUCACCCUCAGCGCCCAGGGCCAGCCAGAAGCCAAAGCUGCCUCUGCCCAGCCCGGCGGACGCCUCGGGGUCCCUGGGAACGUGUGACACGGACGCCAGCACACGCCCGCGACGAGUCACAGGUCAAGGAGGCCGAGGGACCAUCGUGGGCCACACUUGAAGCAGGAUUUGGAAGGAGGCCUGCCUGGCUCGUCUCGCAGGUGAGGAAACUGAGGUUGAGAGAGGUGCAGUGACUGUCCUGAGGUCACACAGCGUGGAAGAGUCAGAACCGGGACUCAGACGGGGUCUGACCUUCUAGCCGGGGCUGUCCCAGCGUGCACCCUUGCCCUUCUGCAGUGCUCCUGGGAGUCCUGUGCCAGGCCAGGUUUCUGGAUUCCGUGAAGGGGCCACGCCUGAGAAGUCCCCAAGUCCGGGGGGCCUGGGUGCGGUCGGACGGCCAUGCCUCGCUGUCACCCUGCACAGUGAGUUCCUUCGUGUGGCGUCACCUCCUGCAGCUGCUGGAGAUGGACGACCCGGAAAACACAACCUCCAGGAUGCAGGGCCCGAGGACAUCCUCAGCCUGGAGUUCUGCCCGAGCCCUGGAAACGCCCAUCCUGCUCUGACCUCACCUUCCGCUCGUUACCAAGGCGUGGGGGUCCCGGGGCGCCCCUCUCCAGGCCCCAGGUGUUACAGGCACUUGCCGGAUAAUUGGGUGUUGCCCCACAGUCCCUGCCGCUUUGGUUGGAAGAAGUGAAAAGUAAUCACGUGUCAGUCACUGGGCGUAGUACUCGACUAAAUUCUUCUGGCUUCUCUCUCAGUUGCUAUUAUUUAUUUAUGUAUUUUUGCAGAACUGGAGAUUGAAUCCAAGGCUUUUGUACUGAGCUAUAUCCCUACCCAGCCCUUUUUAAAAUUCUUGUUUUGAGGACUGUAGGUUCAGCCUUGCAAGUGUGUGGUCCAGCAGAAUUUGUAUGAUGUUCGUUCCAAGUCUGCAGCCCUCCGCCUGUCACCAGUCGCCCAGCC
rnacentral:lncRNA from 1 species